rnacentral:rRNA from 1 species
UACGUAGGGUGCGAGCGUUAAUCGGAAUUACUGGGCGUAAAGCGUGCGCAGGCGGUUCGUUAUGUCCGUUGUGAAAGCCCCGGGCUCAACCUGGGAAUGGCAAUGGAAACUGGCGGGCUAGAGUGUGGCAGAGGGGGGUGGAAUUCCGCGUGUAGCAGUGAAAUGCGUAGAGAUGCGGAGGAACACCGAUGGCGAAGGCAGCCCCCUGGGCUAGCACUGACGCUCAGGCACGAAAGCGUGGGGAGCAAACGGG